AGUGAACGCUGGCGGUAGGCCUAACACAUGCAAGUCGAACGGCAGCACAGUAAGAGCUUGCUCUUACGGGUGGCGAGUGGCGGACGGGUGAGGAAUACAUCGGAAUCUACUUUUUCGUGGGGGAUAACGUAGGGAAACUUACGCUAAUACCGCAUACGACCUGCGGGUGAAAGCAGGGGAUCUUCGGACCUUGCGCGAUUGAAUGAGCCGAUGUCGGAUUAGCUAGUUGGCGGGGUAAAGGCCCACCAAGGCGACGAUCCGUAGCUGGUCUGAGAGGAUGAUCAGCCGCACUGGAACUGAGACACGGUCCAGACUCCUACGGGAGGCAGCAGUGGGGAAUAUUGGACAAUGGGCGCAAGCCUGAUCCAGCCAUACCGCGUGGGUGAAGAAGGCCUUCGGGUUGUAAAGCCCUUUUGUUGGGAAAGAAAAGCAGCAGGUUAAUACCCCGCUGUUCUGACGGUACCCAAAGAAUAAGCACCGGCUAACUUCGUG
rnacentral:rRNA from 1 species